rnacentral:rRNA from 1 species
UACGGAGGGGGCGAGCGUUAUUCGGAAUUAUUGGGCGUAAAGGGCGCGUAGGUGGCUUGAUAAGUCAAAGGUGAAAUCCCUCGGCUUAACCGGGGAACUGCGUCUGAUACUGGUUGGCUUGAGUUUGGGAGAGGGAUGCGGAAUUCCAGGUGUAGCGGUGAAAUGCGUAGAUAUCUGGAGGAACACCGGUGGCGAAGGCGGCAUCCUGGACCAACACUGACGCUGAGGAGCGAAAGCCAGGGGAGCAAACGGG